rnacentral:lncRNA from 1 species
AUGGGCCCAAGUGGCCUCAGAUGCAGUAAGUGGAGGCCCCUGUUAAUGGCUCUGUGGGGUUUCUCUAAUUUGUCCUCCUGUCUCUUGAUUUCCAGGCCAAAAUAUAUCUUCUCCUCUCCUGGUAGUUCUCUUCCUAGUCCCCAAGUUCCUGCUGGUGGGUGGUAUCUCUGCCAUCCUUGUCUACAUGAAGUUUUGGACCUGAUGCUCCUUCCUCACGCCCUUGCUGGUGUCUCCUUCUCCCACCGAGGGGCCCAGCCUAGGAGAAAGACCCAGCUAGGAAACCUGCCUGCCCACAUGCUCCUGAGACCUCUGGAGCUGGGUCAUCUUACAUGGUCCUGAGCAGGGAUCAUGGGAGGUAGCUCUGGGAACUGACUCACUACAUCUCUCUGGAAUGUGAGGAAUAAGUCAGAUCGACAGAGAUCAAUAUCUCUCCUCCAUGACCUUGACAUGGCCAUGAACUACACACUCAUGCCCCUGCUCAGAGGGGUUUUUCUGUCUUGUGUGUUCCUCCCUUCAUCCGACACCCCACCCUUUGAGGUUCUCUUUUAAUUGAGUACACAUGAUUCUCCUUCCUAGUUUUGAGGAAAAAAAUGUAUUCUCCUUCUUUUUUGCCCAAAUGUCCUACCCCUCAAACCCAGAAACUGUUGUUCCAUCUUCUCUUUGCUGUGGAAACACCAGUUCUUCUAUCAUCUUGCAUCUGUCCCAACCCUGUUGCUCAUGGUAAAUAUACUGUGUUCAGAAGCCUUGGAAUCAUCCUUGAUUUGUCUUUUUUUUUUUUUUUCUUUUUCUAGGACUGCACCCAUGACAUAUGGAGGUUCCCAGGCUAGGGGUCUAAUCAGAGCUGUAACUGCCAGUCUACAUCACAGCCACAGCAGUGGGGGAUCCAAGCUGCAUCUGCAACCUACACCACAGCUCACGGCAAUGCCGGAUCCCUAAGCCAUUGAGGGAGGCCAGGGAUCGAACUCACAACCUCAUGGAUUUCUAGUCAGAUUUUUCAACCACUGAUCCACAACAGGAGCUCCUGACUUCUUUUUCUUUUAUUCAUUCAUUUUUACCUUCAAAAUGUUUAUGCUUAUGUCCAUAAUUAAAGAUGGCAAAUAUAUAACAAUCCACCCUCCAAAAGAGGUCGGGGGGGGGAAGCUGUUUGAUAGUACUUGCCAAUUUUUUGCUGUACAUAGUCCCAGUGUGACUAGUUUCAAGCUACCAACAGUUAAAUAACCAGCUUGCAAAAUUCUCAAAACUUAGCAGUGGGCUCUCCUGAGCCCAUCCAAGCCUCCUCCAGUGCACCACUGAGUUGUAUGCACAAUCUGCACAUUCUCACCCCCACCACUACUCCCUGGUCUCAACCACCCUCAUCUCUCCCUUCACCAUUGCCAAGGUGUCUGACUAGAUUUCCUGUUUCAGCCUCCAUGAGUCUUUGGAAAUAUAAAUCAAAUCCUCUCACUCCUCUACUUCCUUGCCCCUCAUGUCUGCCUGGUCACUCACUUCUCUUUCCAAUCUCUGCUCAGUUGUCACUUUGUCAAAGGCACCUUCCACCAUGUAUAAAAUAUCAAUUUUGGGAGUUCCCGUCGUGGCGCAGUGGUUAACGAAUCCGACUAGGAACCAUGAGGUUGCGGGUUCGGUCCCUGCCCUUGCUCAGUGGGUUAAAGAUCCGGCGUUGCCGUGAGCUGUGGUGUAGGUUGCAGACACGGCUCGGAUCCCGCGUUGCUGUGGCUCUGGCGUAGGCCGGUGGCUACAGCUCCGAUUCAACCCCUAGCCUGGGAACCUCCAUAUGCCGCUCCGGCCCAAGAAAUAGCAACAACAACAACAACAAAAAGACAAAAGACAAAAAAAUAAAAUAAAUAAAAUAAAAAUAAAUAAAAUAUCA